GUAACUUCCGUUGGGUGCUGAGACAUCUGGACAGGCUAGCACUAAAACAUUUAUUAUCACCAAUUUAUAGAGGUGCUGCUUCUAGUCACCGUGUCAAAUGAUAAUUACUUGAUGAACGCAGACACUGAGAUUAUACUCUAUACAAGAUUGUUAUAAUGAUUGACAACGGAUAAACGUGAAAUUAUACGAUGCAAGUAAAUAUUUCCAGACAGUAAAUAAUACAUUUUAAUGAAGGACUCUGUAUUUAGAUUCUCGAUAAUAUGUAUGAUAAUAUAAACCAUACUAAAA